CGAGUGGCGAACGGGUGAGUAAUACAUCGGAACGUGCCCAGUAAUGGGGGAUAGCUCGGCGAAAGCCGGAUUAAUACCGCAUACGCCCUGAGGGGGAAAGUGGGGGACCGCAAGGCCUCACGUUAUUGGAGCGGCCGAUGGCUGAUUAGCUAGUUGGUAGGGUAAAGGCCUACCAAGGCGACGAUCAGUAGCUGGUCUGAGAGGACGAUCAGCCACACUGGGACUGAGACACGGCCCAGACUCCUACGGGAGGCAGCAGUGGGGAAUUUUGGACAAUGGGGGAAACCCUGAUCCAGCAAUGCCGCGUGUGCGAAGAAGGCCUUCGGGUUGUAAAGCACUUUUGUCAGGGAAGAAAUCCUUUGGGCUAAUACCCUAGGGGGAUGACGGUACCUGAAGAAUAAGCACCGGCUAACUACGUGCCAGCAGCCGCGGUAAUACGUAGGGUGCAAGCGUUAAUCGGAAUUACUGGGCGUAAAGCGUGCGCAGGCGGUUCUAUAAGACAGGUGUGAAAUCCCCGGGCUUAACCUGGGAAUUGCAUU
rnacentral:rRNA from 1 species